UAGAGUUUGAUCCUGGCUCAGGACGAACGCUGGCGGCGUGCUUCAUACAUGCAAGUCGAACGGGCACCAAUCAGUGGCAACACUGAGGAAGUGCGAGUGGCGAACGGGUGAGUAACACGUGAGGAACUUGCCCCGGACUCUGGGAUAACAGGUGGAAACACCUGCUAAUACCGGAUGCCAUCGGUGGAUCGCAUGGUCUGCCGAUGAAAGAAUUUCGGUCCGGGAUGGCCUCGCGGCCUAUCAGCUAGUUGGUGGGGUAACGGCCUACCAAGGCGUCGACGGGUAGCUGGUCUGAGAGGAUGAUCAGCCACACUGGGACUGAGACACGGCCCAGACUCCUACGGGAGGCAGCAGUAGGGAAUCUUGCGCAAUGGGCGAAAGCCUGACGCAGCAACGCCGCGUGCGGGAAGAAGGCUCUCGGGUUGUAAACCGCUUUUGGCAGGAACGAAACUGACGGUACCUGCAGAAUAAGGUGCGGCCAACUACGUGCCAGCAGCCGCGGUGACACGUAGGCACCAAGCGUUGUCCGGAUUUAUUGGGCGUAAAGAGCUCGUAGGCGGUUCAGUAAGUCGGGUGUGAAAACUCUGGGCUUAACCCGGAGACGCCACCCGAUACUGCUGAACUUGAGUACGGUAGGGGAGUGGGGAAUUCCUGGUGUAGCGGUGAAAUGCGCAGAUAUCAGGAGGAACACCGGUGGCGAAGGCGCCACUCUGGGCCGAAACUGACGCUGAGGAGCGAAAGCGUGGGUAGCAAACAGGAUUAGAUACCCUGGUAGUCCACGCCGUAAACGUUGGGCACUA
rnacentral:rRNA from 1 species